rnacentral:rRNA from 1 species
AUGGCUGGUUUGUUCUGGAAUGCCAGGGGACUGGGUGACCCUGAGAAAAUUACCUUUAUUAAAAAUGCUUUGGCAGAGUUCCAACUUAGAUUCAUUUGUAUCCAGCAAACUAAAAAAACUACUUAUAACUUGGCUUGGCUUGAGAAUGUUAGUGGUAAUUGCCCUUUCUCCUGGUGCUUUGUUCCUGCUGUUGGACAGUCAGGAGGUCUUUUGAGUGGUAUUAAUACUGAUUUUUAUGAUAUCUUAGAUUCUGAAAAAGGAUGUCAUCAUAUUAGAUUCCUUGUCCGAGAUAGGAAAAAUGGAGAGAAGUUAAAUAUAGUAAAUGUUUAUGGAGCUUCGCAUAAUAAGGAUAAAGAAUACUUCCUAGUUGAAUUAGUUCAUAUAUGUAAUUCUAACGCUUUUCCUAUUAUUGUUGGGGGAGAUUUUAAUAUCAUAAGGAAAAGGUGGUCUACUCUGUUUAAUGCAAUUAUUGAGAAUUGGGAGAUGAAAGAAGUAGAACUAAAUGGGAGAGCUUUUACUUGGUCAAAUAAUCAAGAAAAUCCCGUUUUUAAGGAAUUAGACAGAAUUUUAAUGUCUCUAUCUUAUGAGAGUUUGUUUCCUCUGAUGUUUCUUCGAGCUCUUCCUAGAGUCCUCUCUGACCAUGCCCCUCUUUUGCUUGAUUUGGGGAUGAACUUACCUAAGAUAGUGAAACCUUUUAAAUUUGAACUCUGCUGGUUCCUAAGAGAAGAUUUAGAUACUUUAGUAUAUAAUGUCUUGUGUGAUGCUUAUUGUGGUAAAAGUUUGCAAGAUCAGUGGCAAAAUAGAGCCAGGAUACUUAGAAAAACGCUCAAAGGGUGGAAUCUCAACUAUGUUUGGUUUUACAAAAAGCAAAAGGUUUUCCUGAUUAGAGAUAUAGAUGAGACAGACAGAGAGAGUGAAUUAAUUGGUUUGACUAAAGAAAAAUAUAUGUUAAGGAAAAAAGUUAGAGGAGGAGCUUUCAAAGAUUUAUAA